UACGUAGGGUGCGAGCGUUAAUCGGAAUUACUGGGCGUAAAGGGUGCGCAGGCGGCUCCGCAUGUCGGGCGUGAAAGCCCCGGGCUUAACCCGGGAAUGGCGUCCGAAACUAUGGAGCUGGAGUGUGGCAGAGGGAGGUGGAAUUCCACGUGUAGCGGUGAAAUGCGUAGAGAUGUGGAGGAACACCAGUGGCGAAGGCGACUCUUUGGCCUGUAACUGACGCUGAGGCGCGAAAGCGUGGGGAGCAAACAGG
rnacentral:rRNA from 1 species